GUCUGUAGUUCAGUGUUAGAACAUCUGCUUUGCAUGCAGAUGAUUUCAGGUUCAGUACCUCCCAUCUCCAGACA